GGUAGAUCGCUGAGUGGUAGUUUCGGCAACCCUCCUGAGCCCAUAUUUUUGCAGGAGGCCGCAGGCAGACCCGCACCGGAACCAUGUUUCGCAACCAGUAUGACAAUGAUGUCACUGUUUGGAGCCCUCAGGGCAGGAUUCAUCAAAUUGAGUAUGCAAUGGAAGCUGUCAGUAAGGUUCAGCCACAGUUGGUCUGAAAUCAAAAACCCAUGCAGUGUUGGUUGCAUUGAAGAGAGCACAAUCAGAGCUUGCAGCUCAUCAGAAAAAAAUUCUCCAUGUUGACAACCAUAUUGGUAUCUCAAUUGCGGGACUUACUGCUGAUGCUAGACUGUUACGUAAUUUUAUGUGCCAAGAGUGUUUGGAUUCCAGAUUUGUAUUUGACAGACUUCUUCCUGUGUCUUGUCUUGUAUCUCUAAUUCGAAGCAAGACCCAGAUACCAACACAACAAUAUGGCCGGAGACCAUAUGGUGUUGGGCUGCUUAUUGCUGAUUAUGAUGAUAUGGGCCCUCACAUUUUCCAAACCUGUCCAUCUGCCAACUAUUUUGACUGUAGAGCCGUGUCCAUUGGAGCCCGUUCUCAAUCAGCUCGUACUUACUUGGAGAGACACAUGUCUGGGUUUAUGGAGUGCAAUUUGAAUGAACUGGUUAAACAUGGUCUGCGUGCCUUACGAGAGACACUCCUGCAGAACAGGACCUAACUACAAAGAAUGUUUCCAUUGGAAUUGUUGGUAAAGACUUGGCGUUUACGAUUUAUGAUGAUGAUGAUGUAUCUCCAUUCCUGGAAGGUCUUGAAGAAAGACCACAGAGAAAGGCACAGCCUGCUCAACCUGCUGAUGAACCUGCAGAAAAGGCUGAUGAACCAAUGGAACAUUAA